CAGAACUGGUAAAAUGGGACGACCCCAUGAAUUAACUUUGUUCAGAAGAGAUCAUAUAUAUAUAUUUAUUUUGCAUAUGCGAAUUUUACAUUGUAACGUUGUGCUCCAUUUAACAAGCCCCUAGAUGUGUCUAGAUCUAAAGGAUGGAGUAGUUGGGGGAAAGUCACUUCUGACCACUGCUACAUCCACCGUGGGUUCAGUCCUUCUUGACUUAUUUGGAAGGGGAAGAGAUUAGAGGUUCUAAAGAAGGAGUUAAUUGAGAUUAAGGUGAUCUUCAUCACUUGUGAGGAAGAGGAAGUUGAUUCCAGCUGAGGGGAAAAUGGUGAUGUUUUUUCACAAAUUCAGUGUUCCACUCCUCUCUGUGAGUCUUCAUAACCAAACCUGAUUAGACAGAUCCAGGGCAUAAUUUGGUGAGAACAAAUCUGGACCGCAAUCAAGAUCCUGUGCUAGAUAAAUUGCUUAAUUUGCACUUUAUUUUUGGAUUAAUGAAGAAUAAUCAGGUUAAUUUGUGAAGUUCACCAAAUGGUCAAAUCAUCAUAAAUGAUUAAUUAUAUAAUAAACGUUAUUAAAUAUAAUGUAUAAUACUGGUUGAAAUCAACACACUAUUGUUUAAACUUUCAAGUAUUCCAAAACCCAAUAUUAGCAAACCUGAAUGUACAACCGUUUAAUUUGAUUAAUUUGAUAUGAUUUAAUCAGAGCAAUAUAAAUAUUGCAAUCCUUGGGUUUUAAAUGAUGUGGUCUGUGUGUUUCAGCUGCUGAUGGAGAGGAGUUUGUCAGUGUUGUUACUGAGCUUCUCUUUGAACUGCAUGUUACUCCAGACAAACUGAACAAAGUACAGCCUUACACAUACACUUGUGCAUAUCUACAAGCUUAAGUUUUCACACAACAUAAAUGUUUGCUUGCUUGCUUUUUAUUUUUUCACACACAACUCCACAAUAUGUUGUUCAUAUAUGCACGUCCACAAAAAAACACCAGUGCAAAUAGUGAUAGAUAUUAUUUGUAGCCCAACCCUGCUGCAAAUAAUGUUAGAUACUAAUUGCACCCUGUGCACAUAGUGUCAGAUGCUAUUUGUACCCUGGUGCAAAUAAUAAUAUAUGCUAUUUACACCCAGUACAUAUAGUGGCAAAUAUUAUUUGCACCCCAAACCUGGUGAAAAUAAUAGUGCAUACUAAUUGCACCCAUAUUUAAAUACUAACAUACAGUAUGGGCAUCACUGCAGUGUGUUUAUUGUGUUUAUUUAGAGUCCCACAGCCACAGCCACACUACAUUAACCCCUAACCCUAAACUUAACCCUAAUCUUACCUUAGAAAAACUAACCUUGGUUUUACUACAGUAACCAUGGUUUCACACGGGAAUGAGUGUGAUCAACAGACCCAGCCUCCAGAUCAAACCCUUCUCUGCAUUCCCCAACAUUCAUGGUGACCAAAUCACUGUUUGAAAUCAACAUUUAUAUUCUUUUUGAUCUAUUAUUUUAAGUAGUAUUAAAGGAAAUAUUAAGAGUGGAAACAGGAAAUCGGAUGGAAAAAAAGAGAAAAAGUAUGUGUAAGCAAUUUCUUCUUUUUAGUCUUUUCAUGUAUUUGGUCAAAGUGACUCACAAAAUAGUUGAAUGAUUAAUUAGCGAAUCCGUCUGAAGUCAAAUCCAGAUACCACAAAUGAAUGAAAAAAUUAUGUAAAUGAAUUGGCCAAAAAGGGUGGGAUCGCUGUUACUUUCUAGAUACAGUAUAAGUUACUGGUCUUAUUGUGAACACUUCAUCUGUGCAUGUUAUUUCAAAGAAAAACAUUUUCAUCUUCAAAGUGUAAUUGUCCAUUUUUCUUAUCUUAUUUUUUAACCCCUCCACUCCAAACAUAAUGAAACCACUUUUCAGAAUCCAGUCAAUUCCCCAAUCGAUAAAAUCAUGUCCAAUCUUAUAUAUUUGUUUUUCUUGGUAAAUGUCCUGUUUCAUUUAGAAACAUAGCACACUAUGGACGUAAAAUGGGUUUGCAAAUGCCGAUUCAUAUUGUUUAACCCUCUUAUUCUGUUAGGGUCAUAAUGAAUCUAAUUUAAUUAAAAGUAUAUGUAUUUUUUUACCCUGUAGAGUCACAGAAAAGAAGAACAAGUCAAUCCGCUUGUGGACAAUGUGAUGCUUUAGGUCUCACACAUCCAGACCAGCAGAACUGCAGUCAAGCCAACCCCAGAAACAACAACCCCAGAAUUGUGUCUUCAUCCUGAUUGUGUGUUUUUGUAUGUUUCUGUCAUAUCUGUCUGUUUCUGUACUGUGUUUGCUUCAGUAUGAGAGCUAGCACAAAAAAGUGCAAUUCUGGUCUAUGUAUAUACUCUUAAAAUGAGAUAAUUCAGAAUUUAAAUGAGACUGAAACUCCUAUCUUAUUAAGUUAGUUGCUUAUGUUUCAGUCCUCUUGAUUCUAUGUUCAUUCUUUUUAAGUUACCUUACAAAAAUGGAAGAUUAUUAAUCAUGUGUUGCAUUGUCUGUGCAGGUGUGGAGGAACUAAAUUACAUAUAAAUUAAAUCAAUCACUCUUAAACUAUUAACAAUUUUUUAUUUUGAA